GACGAACGCUGGCGGCGUGCUUAACACAUGCAAGUCGAACGGAAAGGCCCUGCUUUUGUGGGGGGCUCGAGUGGCGAACGGGUGAGUAACACGUGAGUAACCUGCCCUUGACUUUGGGAUAACUUCAGGAAACUGGGGCUAAUACCGGAUAGGAGCUCCUGCUGCAUGGUGGGGGUUGGAAAGUUUCGGCGGUUGGGGAUGGACUCGCGGCUUAUCAGCUUGUUGGUGGGGUAGUGGCUUACCAAGGCUUUGACGGGUAGCCGGCCUGAGAGGGUGACCGGCCACAUGGGGACUGGGGUAGGGCCCAGACUCCUACGGGAGGCAGCGGUGGAGAAUAUUGCACAAUGGGCGGAAGCCUGAUGCAGCAACGCCGCGUGCGGGAUGACGUCCUUCGGGUUGUAACCCGCUUUCGCCUGGGACGAAGCUUGAGUGACGGUAAUAGGUAAAGAAGCACCGGCUAACUACGUG
rnacentral:rRNA from 1 species